rnacentral:rRNA from 1 species
UACGAAGGGUGCAAGCGUUACUCGGAAUUACUGGGCGUAAAGGGUGCGUAGGUGGUUGUUUAAGUCUGUUGUGAAAGCCCCGGGCUCAACCUGGGAAUGGCAAUGGAUACUGGACAGCUAGGGUACGGUAGAGGGAAGCGGAAUUUCCGGUGUAGCGGUGAAAUGCGUAGAUAUCGGAAGGAACAUCAGUGGCGAAAGCGGCUUCCUGGACCAGUACCGACGUUCAGGCACGAAAGCGUGGGGAGCAAACAGG